GAUGAACGCUGGCGGCGUGCCUAAUACAUGCAAGUCGAGCGAAGGGUCUAGGGGCUUUCCUCUCUGAAAAUAUCGGGGGGCGGGUGUGUAUCACAUGGAAAAACCCCCUCUCAUACUGGGGGAACAUCAUUGGAAAGGAUAUAAUAUAGCAGAAUAUAUUAAAUCUCGCGUGACAAAAGUUUAAGAGGUUGUUAUUGUAACAUAUAGAUGUAUUUGCGCUGCAUUAGCUAGUUGGUGGGGUAAAGGCCCACCAAGGCGACGAUGCAUAGCCGACCUGAGAGGGUGAUCGGCCACACUGGGACUGAGACACGGCCCAGACUCCUACGGGAGGCAGCAGUAGGGAAUCUUCCGCAAUGGGCGAAAGCCUGACGGAGCAACGCCGCGUGAGUGAAGAAGGAUUUCGGUUCGUAAAGCUCUGUUGUUAGGGAAGAAUGGAUAUGUAGUAACUAUACAUGUAAGAGACGGUACCUAACCAGAAAGCCACGGCUAACUACGUG
rnacentral:rRNA from 1 species